UGGCUCAGAUUGAACGCUGGCGGAAUGCUUUACACAUGCAAGUCGAACGGCAGCACGGGGGCAACCCUGGUGGCGAGUGGCGAACGGGUGAGUAAUACGUCGGAACGUGCCCAGUCGUGGGGGAUAACUACGCGAAAGCGUAGCUAAUACCGCAUACGAACUCUGGUUGAAAGCGGGGGAUCGCAAGACCUCGCGCGAUUGGAGCGGCCGAUGGCAGAUUAGGUAGUUGGUGGGGUAAAGGCUCACCAAGCCGACGAUCUGUAGCUGGUCUGAGAGGACGACCAGCCACACUGGGACUGAGACACGGCCCAGACUCCUACGGGAGGCAGCAGUGGGGAAUUUUGGACAAUGGGCGCAAGCCUGAUCCAGCCAUUCCGCGUGCAGGAUGAAGGCCCUCGGGUUGUAAACUGCUUUUGUACGGAACGAAAAGCGCUGAGUUAAUACCUCGGCGUCAUGACGGUACCGUAAGAAUAAGCACCGGCUAACUACGUGCCAGCAGCCGCGGUAAUACGUAGGGUGCAAGCGUUAAUCGGAAUUACUGGGCGUAAAGCGUGCGCAGGCGGUUAUGUAAGACAGGUGUGAAAUCCCCGGGCUUAACCUGGGAACUGCAUUUGUGACUGCAUAGCUAGAGUACGGUAGAGGGGGAUGGAAUUCCGCGUGUAGCAGUGAAAUGCGUAGAUAUGCGGAGGAACACCGAUGGCGAAGGCAAUCCCCUGGACCUGUACUGACGCUCAUGCACGAAAGCGUGGGGAGCAAACAGGAUUAGAUACCCUGGUAGUCCCCGCCCUAAACGAUGUCCACUGGUUGUUGGGUCUUCACUGACUCAGUAAGAAAGCCUACGCGUGGAGUUGACCGCCUGGGGGAGUACGGGCGCCAGGUUGAAAC
rnacentral:rRNA from 1 species